rnacentral:rRNA from 1 species
GACGUAGGGUGCAAGCGUUGUCCGGAUUUACUGGGCGUAAAGAGCGCGUAGGCGGCUCGUUAAGUGUGAGAUGAAGCUGUGGGCUCAACCCACAAACCGCUUUUCACUACUGGCGAUGCUGGAGUGAUGCAGAGGUGGAUAGAAUUCCUGGUGAGCGGUGAAAUGCGCAGAUAUCAGGAGGAACACCGGUGGCGAAGGCGGAUCUCUGGGCCUGUUCUGACGCUGAGGCGCGAAAGCCGUGGGGAGCAAACAGG